UGACACUUCAGGCAAGCAGCAUCAGCUUCAGAGUGCAAAAUGCAUUGGUCAGAAACAGCACAGUCUCUUUUUCAUUUAUGUAGGCAUGUUCAAGAGCAUAUGAGUAUGUCUCUUAUUGCGAUGGGAAGUAAUUACAUGAUAUAACAGGGUGACCACUUGCAGAGUCUGCCAAAGAGGGGCAUAGCUGCGGGUACUGACAUGCCAUCCCAGAUACAGCAAAGCUUCCACUUUCAUUGGUGCCAUGAGGGGGCAGAUUAGGAGAGGGAAAGCAGAUGGCAUUGGUGGGUGGUGGGUUGAGUGGCAGCAGUGGGCAAAGACCAGCAUUAUCUGGCACAGGACUAAGUGUGGGGCUUCCAACUGCAGCAUGUGCCCUGGGAGGCAUCCUGGCUCCUGCCCAAGAACAAAAAAAAGUGUCCUUUCUUGUAAGUAAGAAAACAAACUUUAUUUUGACAGUGUAAACUCAGCAACAGCAGAAGGGCAGAAUUUUGUUUAGUCUGGGCACCAGCAAUGAGGCAAAGAUCAAACCAACUUAUGAGACAAGCUUCAGCACUCCCUGAAGCAUGGGCGUAGCCAAGGUUUUUGUUAGGGGUGGCAGGACUUUUCUUGGUCAGUUAGUUAAGUAUUUCUAUUGCUUUACUUGAUCUGGGAGGAGGGAGAGCUGCUGUUUAGGGAAGCUUUUAAUGUAUUUUAAUGUAUGUACCACUGUAUUUUAAUAUUUUGUUGGAAGCCGCCCAGAGUGGCUGGGGAAACGCAGCCAGAUGGGCAGGGUAUAAAUAAAUUAUUAUUAUUAUUAUUAUUAUUAUUAUUAUUCCUGCCCCCCGGCUACACCCAUGCCCUGAAGGCAGUUCAGGGACAAGGCCAGGGGGGUCAAGGCUUCAGAUCAGGAGUUCUGAUCUUAAGACUGCACAGAAGCAUGAAGUUGUAUGAACAAUUGGCCCUGCUUACCUGCCACACUUUUAAAGGGGAAGGAAAGUACAGCUACUCAUGAGAACAGCCUGUCCCACCAAGAGCUCCUGGAUUGAUGCCGGGAACUCCUUCUAGGGAGCUGGGUCUGCACCAGCCUCUUGAGGUGCUGCUGUUGCAUCAGAGACAAUGCAUGGCUUUCCUUCUCCCUUGAUUGCUCAGUCUGUGCUGUGGGGCUCCCUCCUUCCUUGGGCAUUGAAAGGGCUUCCCUGGCAUUGGAUGGUUCUGCCUUCUCCCCCUGCACUAAGGAAGAGAGGACUGGUCAACAUUAUUCUUGCUCUGCCCACCCAUUCCUUCUUCCCCUCCACCCUGGCUUAAAUUUGCUACUUAGUUUUGCAUCCAAGCUUCACAGCAGGCAGUUGUGAACAAUUUUUUUUCUAUUAUUCUUCCAUUUUUAAAACUCUAAAGCACAAAUAUCAAGUGUGCUUGUCUGGACUUUGAUAGCUCUCAAUCUAUCUUCAUUGUGAUGGUUUCUUUGACCUUUAACGUAUUUAAUGUUUAAUCUACAUUGAUAGUGCAAGAUUCCUUCUAUGGAUUAAUAAUGGAUAUGGCAGCACUAUGGAUAUGGAAUGCAAUAAAGGGCAAUAAAGGCCAUGAAAAUAUGGAAGUAUGUAGCUAAUGCUCUCUCACUAUUGAAAGCCUCUCAAGGAAAAUCAAGGUAGAAGUCAUGACACAUGAAGAUUUAUAUAAACGAAGUUCUUCUUAUUAUGAUGUUCCAUGUGAGGUUCCCCUAGAAACACAGCAGAAGGACAGCAAAAAUCUCAUUGAUUAACACAAAUGUUUAUUUGUUACCUCCAUUCUUGGCUGAACAGAGUUUGGGGGUUCAAGGGAAUCCAUAACUGCUGAAGUUAGGGAAUGUUCUGUGGGAAGACCAUCCUAAUAAAUGCACCACUGUGUUGAAUGAAGAAACCAGGAUACAGAGUUUUGUACAUGAAACAGAAUAGCAAACUUAAUUCCCAAGUCAGAGAAACCCUAACCCAAAUUCUACAUUCAUUUUCACAGUAGUACCUGUUUCUGAGGAGCUAGUAUGGUAGAUGCAAUUUUAGACUAACCUUGAGGAAAAUUAGCAUCCCGCAUUUAUCUUGCCAGUGCAAAGUCAACAAUAAGGUCUCUUUUAAAAUAACCAUAUACAUGCAUUUCCCAAUAAGCCUCAUGUUUUGGUUUUAUAUUGUUACCAUUCUCAUCAAAUAUAUAAUAGAUAUAGAUAUAUAGCUAUUGCAGUUAAUAGUUUCUCUCUAUCCUGCAUGCUAAGGGAACAUGUGGAGUACUGUUUCCUACUGUGGACACCACACUUUAAGAAGGAUACUGAUCAGCUGGAGUAUAUCCAGAAGACAAUGACCAGAAUGGUGAAAAGCUCUGGAAAUCAAGUCCUAUGAUGAGUGGGUGGAAGAGCUGAGAAAGGACUAAUCUACACUGGUGAGUUAUAACGUUAAAAAUGUGUUAUAGAAAUGGGGCACCAGAGGGUGCUGUAAAGCAGCGAUCUUUUGCCAAUGGGAAAUUCCACUGGGAGCUAUAUUUUUAUAGUGGGUUUUUUUAUUAGUGUUUUUGAGAUGAGUGUAGAUCCAGCCUAUGUUUAGCUUGGUAAAGAGAAGGGUUGUUGUUAUUGUGGGAGGAAGAGAUUUUCAAAUAUCCAAAAGGCUAUACUGCAGAAGAUAUAGCAAACCUGUAUGGUGUUGUUCCAGAGGACAAGACAAGUCAGUAGGUGGAAAUCGCAAUGAAUAUUUCAUUUGCAUGUCAAGAACCUCAAGCCAGCCCAAUCACAAUGAAUAUUUCAUUUAACAUUAGGAUAAACUUUCCAACAGUAUCAGUGAAAAAGACUAUCAGUGUGGAGGUGGCUGGUAAACUGGAGAGACUCAAGCAGAAGUUAGACAGCCAUCAGUCAUGCAGAUCCUGCACUGAACAGGGAGCUUAAUUAGUGACACCCAAGGUCCUUUCUAACUCUAUGAUUCUAUGAGGGAAAUAUUGUAAAGGCAUUAAAGACUGUGAUCAUGUAAUGCCACACUAAAAACAAGGCAACUGUUUGCAGGCGUUCCUAAUCAUCCAUGGACAUGGCCAGACAGGACUACAAUUAUUGCUAGAGGGCGGCAUUUAAGUACAAGUGUGCUUGGAAAUCUUCUUGCAACCACUGACCCCUGGAAAGAAGCCACUGGGCUCUGGAAAGAAGCUGGCAGGCUGUUCGCUCCUUGGCGUGAGGUCCCUCCACAUCUCAAUUCACCCCAGAGACCUCCUUUUGCAGCUGGAGCAAAGGCUUGCUUUGUUAAGUGAAGUUGACAGCUAAAACAGUGCUAAAUAGGGUGACUUGGCUGCCCCAGGACAUGUUGCCUCUAGGUUUCCAGAUUAUGUCCCACCCAGGGCCGGCGUUAUGAUGAAGCAUCCUCAGGCGAUUGCCUCGGGUGGCAAGACCCUGCCAUGAUCCAGGGGUGGCAGAUCCUGCUGCCAUGCCUGCUGCUUCCCUGUGGCUUAAGCAGUCACUGCUGCUGCCUCCAAAAUGCUGCCUGGGCCCUGGCGCAGAUUUACUUUGUAGAGAUUUCCUUGCUUUUUUCAAAAUGGUUCAUUGUACCAAUGCAGUAUAGGAAGCCAAGGACAUCAACAGGAGCCCAGCCAAGGGGCCAGCUUUUGCUCCUUUUAGCACAAAAUGCAGAGCCACCUGAUGUUUGUGUCUGCCCCUAAACUAGCCUUCACAAAUCAGGUGCCCUCCAGAUGUUUUGGACUACAACUCCCACCAGCUGCAGCAAGCCCUAAGGGCAGCUACACCUGAGAAGACUGCACUACUCUUCCGCCCUUUGAAUAAACAAAAAUUAAGCCAAACCUUCUGCAGUUUGAAUAAUGGCAAAACCACAAAGGGAGGAAAGUAUGACAUUGGUUCUAUGACAACAAUGUGUGGAUGCCCCAUAAAAACCGAAUGAACCAAGAGUGGCAACCCCACACUAAACACACAGAGAAUAAACAUCCUCUCCUUGCUCUUUCCAGCAGCUGUUUACCGAACACAACCCUACAAUUACUGGAUAGGGCUCUUCUCCACCCGCGAAUUGUCCAUUCACGAAACUACCCACAGCCAUUAACAGAAUAUAAGCAUCCUUUCGUCAACUCAAAACUCUAAUCAGAUGGCACAUUCCUGAAAAGCCAGAGUGAUAUACUAAUUCAUGCUACUCAUGCAGCAAACUCAAAAGCAAUAUAAUUUGGAUCCAGUCCAACAGAAAGCACAAAUUGAAACCCUGUCUGCAAGAAGAUUUUACUUUGUUAGAGGCUGGCCAGCAGAAGCUGUUAUACCACAGUAUUAUUUUCUUCUGCCUUCCCCAGCCCCUUUUCUUUCUGUAUUCGUUUGCAUGUCAUAAGAACGUAAAGAAGAGCCAGCUGGAUCAGGCCAGUGGCCCAUCUAGUACAGCAUCCUGUUCCCACAGAGGCUGAUCAGAUGCCUGUGGGAAAUCAGCAAGCAGGAUGUGAACAUAAGAGCAAUCUCCCCAACUGUGCUUUCCAACACUGCUGCCUCCAGCUGUGGAGGCCGAGCAUAGCCAUCAUAGCUAGUUGCCAUCGAUAGCCAUGUCAUUAUUUUAAAUUUUGUAUACAUCCUUUGAGUGCAUUGGCAGAAAAGCUGUGUACACAAAUGCAUUCAAUAAAUUAAGAAGCCUCCAGACAAACUAUUGAAUAUUUUUUCCUCCGUAACAUUAAGCAUGAAAACUCCCCCGCAGUUGGGAGUAUGUAUUUCAAACGGCAGGGAGACAAUCCUCAAAUCACUUACUGCAAAGUAAUUCCAUUUGCUUCAGUAAGACUAGUACAGGUAGUGUGAAGGCUAUGGUUUUAGGCUGCAGCCCUAUAUACACUUACUUAGCAGUAAAUCUCAUUGAACUUAAUAGGGCUUACUUCUAAGCAGACAUGUACAGGAUUGCACUAUCAAGUGUAUUUAAUAACUAUGCAGGCCAACAACCUGUGUAAAGAAAUUCUAAAACUUAAGAGAUGCUCAAUCAGUGAAAAAAAGAAGAAAGGAAAGAGAACAAUCUUUCAUGACCGUUAGGUUUUGAUGUGAAGUUUAUACAUAUUCAUGAUACUUAAAAGCUGUAAUCUCUGAAGUUAUGCUGGGGAAUAUGUAGCCUAAUAUAUUCUUCCUAUUACCCAAAGGGGCAAAGAUGAAUUAGUUGACUGGAUACUUUUUUAAUCAAAUAAUGACCGGAUCUUAUGGUGAAUAGGAACAGCUUUUAGGAGACUACCAACUAUAUUUACAAGUUCCAGUUAGGAAUUAAAGUAAUUCUAAUCAACUUUGCAUUGCUAUUUUUAAUUAGCACUGCAGAUGUGAGUUAAGUGAGUGAAAGCCAACUGGUCACUCAUUGAAUGCAAACACAAAGCAAUCUAUCUGGCCUCUGGUGACCCUUCAAAAGAGAUGUGGGAAAGAUUUUUCCAUAAUUCAGUUAAGAGGAAAAGAAAACUGUCCUAAAAAGGCAAUAGAAAGACAUAUUCCACAGGAUCUCCCCAUUUUUGGACAAAAGUCUCCCCUGUCCUGUUUGGACUUCAAACAGGAAGCCUUUUCCCCUGUAUUCGAGUUUGACUGGCCCCAUCAAGAUCAAGGACCGACCUAUGACACAUAUCAAAUCCAGGUGGUUCCUCCAGGAUGCUGUUUGGGGUGGCGUCUGUGGCCCAUCAAGCCCCAUCUGGGUAUUCAGACACACACAACACCUCCCUCAGACCUCUUUACUGGGGUACCCUAUUUCUUUGGAUCAGGGAGAGGGAUAGGGAUCCAUCCCGUGGCAAGAGGAGGAGCCAGUAUCAUCCAGUGGCCAUGUGGGCAACAGAAGCUCCCCCCCCCCGUCUCACCCGUGUUCUUGCUGGGCCACAACCUCUGUUCCAACAGAAGCUGGUAAGCAGUCUUUACAUCAGCAUCAUUCCCCUUCCCAAUUUUGGAUGCAAAUUAAAAGGAAUUCAUCUCAUUCAGAAAGGAAGGGUGGAGCCUAGGAAAUGUAAAAGACAUUAAUCUAGCCCCACACGUUGUUGCAGCCCUUUGUUGCCGUGCACUUAUAUAGUCAUGAGUGGCUAGCGGGUAGGAGUGCCUUGCGGAGCAGGCCUCCCCACAGUGAUGUCAUUGCUGCUAACUGCAAUGGGGCAGGGCAACAGCAAGGUCAAAGUCAGAACUAGUACACUCACAUUGCAUGUCACCAAAUAACUGCAAAUGUGUUCACAAACGUGAACACUGACUGCAUGGAGCUCCACUCAUGCGGAAGCCUUUGGGCCACUACCAUACCACUAGCAUUACAUUUGAAACAAGCCUUAGUUCACAAACCAUUACCUCUCAAAUGUAUUUCGUAAGGUUUUCAUGAAGACCAAUGUAUCCACAACACAGGGAAAUGGAAGAAAAAGGGGUGGAGGAAGAGAGAGAAAGAAAACAACCAGUUUUGCACAUUAGUAUUAAUCAUUUGCCAGAGGCAAAUCCUUUAUUUCACUUUCUUUCUUUUUUUGUUUUUGGAAAUGUACGAGUGCUCUUUCUGUCCAUUAAAAAGGGAAUUCAGACAGAGAUGGCCUCAUGGGAAAGUGGAGAUUGGCUAUUACACUGAAGUGAGAGAUUGCUUUUCAUAUACAAUUAUUGGAAGUGCCACUUGUCCCUAGCUAAAUUAAACAGUUGUAGAGGCAGACCAUAUCACUUCAACCAAAAUCAGUACAUUUCUCCUCUCUGUACUGAAUGAUCUUUUGCGAAUAUAGAAGUGUGUAAAGCAAAAUAUACUAUGUUUUCUAUUGUUAAAUAAAUUACUAUUGGGGGGGAAAUCCAACAAUUUUAAAUAAGAAGGAAGGGCUGGAUUUAAAACCAAUAUAGGUAUUUAUAUGUCUGCGUACCCCAAGAAUAUUUUAAAAUACUACUCUAUCAGAACUACAAAUGCCACUACCCUGAGGUGGGUACAAAAAUGAGGUUCUUGGCUUUUAUAGCUUUAUACUGUCAUGAUUAAAAUGCAUUUUGUAAUUUUUUUACUACGAUUUUAGUAAGUUGGCAACAGUAAUAAGCAGAAGCACUAGGGUCAAAUUGUGUAUUUGACAACCUUGUAAGCUACUGCUUGUUAGAUGCAUUUAUGCCUAUAAUAUAUUCACAUUCAUAUAUAAUGCUUUUAAAAACAUAUAUCAAACAUAUUUAUACUACUCUGUUUUAUCCUUUCAUUUUUAAAGCCCAGUUGGAUUGACAAAUCUUUGUACAAGCAGGUCAGCCUUGAAACCAAGCCAAAAUGUGUAUGUGUGUAUGUGAGUGAAUGGUUUUUUGCUUGCAGAGGGCUAAGAAGGAAAUAAGCAGAUGAGCAAACAGGUAAGCCAGACAUUUUCUGCUUUGCUUUACUAUACUACCAACUGUGGGCCUAUGGAAAUGGAGUAUGUUCCCAUGCAUUUUUCAGCCCAGUGGCAUUCUAGAUCAGGCUUCCUCAACCUCAGCCCUCCAGAUGUUUUUGGCCUACAACUCCCAUGAUCCCUAGCUAGCAGGACCAGUGGUCAGGGAUGAUGGGAAUUGUAGUCUCAAAAACACCUGGAGAGCCGAGGUUGAGGAAGCCUGUUCUAAAUCCUGUGACAAAUGAAAGUGCUUAACGAUACCAUGUGUAUAUAAAGGCAGUUCUGCAUCAAUGCCAAUUGAGAGAAGGCAAUUUGGGUGGAGAAGCCUCCUUGAAGCAGGCAGGGCUCACCCCUUCUCACAAGAGGCAAUCAUCACCUCUCUGGCUCAGGCAGGUGUCCCCUCCCUGCCUCCCCUCCCCUUUUUAUCAGCCAAGAGGGGCAAGAGCCUAGAGUGCAAGUGGUCACCCUGACUGAUCCACACACCUUUGCCGUAUUUUUGAACCUUACUAACAUAGCAGGUUUGGACCGUGCUCUGGACAUCUCUCAAGAUUCAUCUGCUGUAACAGUGGAGUCAAGGUCCCAGCAGAUGCAAGCAAUUUUAUCCUCAAAAUGCUUUGCAAACAAGUCACACGAGCUACCGUCAGUUCUGUCACCUCCUUCAGGCCAGACUGUAAAAGGCCCUGCGUUACCCAAUAACAGCUCUGCUGGACGGCACAAUGAGAAUACAAUGGCGGCUGCAAAGUAUGCCUUCUUUGCUGCCUUCACUGUCACUGGGCUGGCUCAAUAAUGAGCCCUCGCCAGUAUUUGACUGCAUUUGGCUGGAGUUUUCAUUCUUCCACAUUCAAGCUUUCUCCCAGCUUGUUUCCUCACCCUAAGUUCUGGAGUAUAUCAGGGAGCUAAAUGGGGUCCACAAAGCAGAAGAGGGCAUUCAGGAGUGAUCGUGUCAACUGCCCAAGCCAUUUGGAUGUUCCAGAAGUCAGCCAGAGCUUUGACAGGAGCACCCAUCAUAUCAGCUGAAAAAUCCCUACAGGAUCCUUAGGCCCCUGGGUCCUGUGUCUGUGUGUGUGUGUGUGUGUGUGUGUGUGAGAGAGAGAGAGAGAGAGAGAGAGAGAGAGAGAGAGAGAGUAUACCCCAUCUUUUGUGUGUAUGAAAUUAGGGUUAGUAUGCUAAGUAGAAUUAUUCAUUCAUUCCAAUUUCUAUUCGCCACUUUCUAGGGCUUUUCUCUUCAAAAGGAAGAGAAAAGUCCCAACUGUGUAAUAUUGAUUUUUAGGAAAUAAAGCUUUGAACUUGCAUUCUCCUUUUGCAAAGAAAGAUCCCUAGGCUGUGUGCCAAGAUCAAUCUUGGCAUACACAGCAAGGCGGUUGUUUAAAAUUCACAAUCCAGUUCCACCUCAAACAGGAUUCUGUGGACAUCCAGUAGCACUACAGUAAUGUUACAUUCUGGAGGGAAACUAGAAUGGUUGUCAUAGAACUUUCAUUUUUAAAAGCUAAGGAGAAUCUCCAAGGAUAACAUGUGCACCAAUGCUUUCUCAUAUGUGACACACUGAGCUAAAACAACAGGUAUUUUCUGAAAUUGUUCUGGGGUGUUUCUUCCAGAAGUACUAAUUUACAAAACUGCUGACCAUAGCCAGAGCUGCCUUAUAUUUUAUUUCUGCUCUGUGGUUCUGCUUGCCCUUCAUGCCAACUUGACAUCAGUUUCAAUUGUCAAGGUAAUUCAUAUUUCUAUACUACAAAAGGAAAAACUGUUUUGGUAACGUAAAUGAUGUUUUAUGACCACAGAACUUUACACAGACUCUUAUUAUGCACUACGGUUAGUCCACAAACGUCUUACUCAGGAUUAGCCAUAUUGGUUUUGUAGUCCUACACUUCAGUAACCUGUUUUUGGAUUGUAGCCUAGAUCAAUAUUUUCAGACUCCCAACAUGGAGCACUAAACCUUCUAAUAUUGAAGACCUGUCCUAGUCAUAUUUGGAAAUUUUCAUGGAACCACAUUGGGUUCAACUGGGCCAACACUCUUGUUUCUCACACUAAAAUCUGAUUUUGCACACAGAAUAGACUAAGCAGGUUUCCUAGCCCUAAAUUUCCUGCCCUCACUUUUACACAGAUUCAACUUCACUUACUGACAGAAACAUCUGGAUCUGACAUGAAGGCUACAUGCUCCCUUUCAAUAUGGCUCAGGUAAUGUUUAUGUGUCAUACACAAUGGAACUGCUAGAAACAUUUUAUAAUAAACAGGAAUAAAGGGGAGGGGUUAACCAGGCCUUAAAAGCAAUGCAUUUGUAAUGGCUACAGAACUACUGCAAACUUUAUACACAGCAAUAUGGAUAUUGUCUGGCUCUGCAAAUGUCAAUGGACAAGCAUCCUCACUGGGAGCUGGGACAUUUGUAAUGCAGCAUGCAGCUCUCAAAAUAAGACAGCAUCAGUUGAAAAAUGUCUAGCCAUUAUUUGUUGCAAAGCAGAUUCAUUGCAAAUAAAGUAUUUAUAUAAUAUGUUACUCAUCUAUUGACUAGCCUAGAAGCAUUCAAUUAAUUUUCUCAUUCAUAUUCCAGCCUUCCCAUAAUAUGUAGCAUUGCAGCUUCUACAUCAAGAGUUUUUCCAUUUCUUUUCAUUUUAUUGGCUUUUCUUGCCUUUCCUGUGUACAGUUGGAGACAUCAGGGAGAAGGGUUAUCUGCUUCCUCCAGU